GAUGAACGCUGGCGGCGUGCUUAACACAUGCAAGUCGAACGGAAAGGCCGAAGCUUGCUUCGGUACUCGAGUGGCGAACGGGUGAGUAACAAGUGGGUGAUCUGCCCUGUACUUCGGGAUAAGCUUGGGCAACUGGGUCUAAUACCGGAUAUGACGAUCUCUUGGCUGGGGUGGUGGAAAGCUUUUGCGGUAUGGGUAGAGCUCGCGGCCUAUCACCUUGUUGGUGGGGUAAUGGCCUACCCCGGCGUCGACGGGUAGCCGGCCUGCGAGGGUGUACGGCCACAUUGGGACUGAGAUACGGCCCAGACUCCUACGGGAGGCAGCAGUGGGGAAUAUUGCACAAUGGGCGCAAGCCUGAUGCAGCGACGCCGCGUGGGGGAUGACGGCCUUCGGGUUGUAAACUCCUUUCGCAAUCGACGAAGCCUUUUGGUGACGGUAGGUUGAGAAGAAGCACCGGCUAACUACGUG
rnacentral:rRNA from 1 species